rnacentral:lncRNA from 1 species
AAUGUGGGGACCUGGAAAUGGCCACCACAAGAUAUGUCUCUUUGGCAUCAGGAUUAUUUGAGGCUGAUUGCUUUUGAUAAAGUGGGACAGGGAAGGAGGCUCUGAGGAAUGGAACUUGCCCUUUGUUAGCACACAUUUACAUUUGUAAGGUAAAUCUCUAUCUGUAAAAGUUGCCUGCCUCUCUGUACCAGGAAGAAGAAAGGAGAUGACCUUCUCUGUAAAAACUCUUAAUCAAUACCAAAGACAAGGACUUAAAAUCUGCAUUUUAUUGUGCUUGUCUGGUAACUGACUUCCUCCUGUAACUGACUUCCCUCCCCCUCCCAACGUUGGCAUUUCUUUAAGGAUUAAGCAUCUUUCCUUAGGCUAGGAACUGAUUGCUGAGCUCACCUGUGACCACCCAGCUCCAGACAAUAGACUUUCCUCCUGCUACGCCCACCAAGAUAGCAGACCAUUACCUGCUGUGUCCAUCAAGCACUGUUGCGACAGGGCAAUCUUGUGACUAUUGUGGGAGGGACAUUUCAAUCACAUGUGAAACACCCUGUUUGGGGGUAUAUAACUACUAUGUGCACCCCACUUCUUCGGUGCCCUUUCUUCCUUUGGGAAGAAAGGCCCCAGGCCAUGGUUCUUCAUAAAGCUUUGUUUAAUUUUCUCUUGCUAUUCUGUCUCAUGUGAAUUUAAUUCAUUCUCCGGCCAGUCGAACCCACAUUUGGGAAGAGGAAAUCUCUUCCUCCCCUACAGUUUUGGUGUAGUCGGCAGGAUGAUAUUUCACUGGCUGGACACUGCUUGCUGCUGGACUGCUGCGGCAGAGAGAUCCUGGACUCCUGAGGAGAGCUGGCAAGAGGCUGGAUUGCGAUCCCUUCCUCUGGCACCUGACCACUCUCUGAACUGCAGGAAAGUCCCAAUCGAGACUCCAGUUCAAGGCCUAACUUUGGGAGCCCACCUGCAUCGCCGCCUUUUAAAAUGACUUUAGCUGGACUGAUCUAUUAACAGGAAUAAGAAAUGUGUUCAGUGAGAUGAAACAAUCUACCACUCAGCUUCUGGAUUGUGAAACUUUUAGUUUCAAAGGCGGGACUGUGGGUACCUGGAAUUGGCCACCCCAAGAUAUGUCUCUUUGGCAUCAGGAUU